GGUGCCAUCGGUUCGGAGGCAAGAGGGACACAGCCACACCGGCAGAAUCCGACCUCACCAAUCAAUACUUAGGGUUCAAGGGCAUCGGCCGACCAAUUAUCCCGGACUAAUUGACGCGAGACGGCUACGAAAAAGCCUGAUCCUCUUCCCCUCUUCCCUUCCGCGACAGCUUCGCUUUGCGAUUCGUAUUUCGUUGUGUUGCAUUUUCUUUCGAACCAUGCCAAUCGGCGAAAAAACGAGAACAAUCGACCGAUAACUUUUUUGAUAAUCAGCGUGAAAGUAAACGUACGUCUCUCCCUCUCUCUCUUUCUCCCCUACAGAGCGAGAUUUAAGUAAAGUGAGUAAAACUCUAUAGUAGAAACUAUAGGGAAAGUUUCAUUACGCAUUAUCACUAUCACCUUCGCUAUCUUUCACGAGAAAUCGCAAAUAUAUUUUGUUUUAAGAUACCAACAUUUUGGUCUAUCUUUACAUUUUCAUCAAAAGUUUGAAGUAAUUACAAUAUGUCUUGUUAUGCGUUGUGAAUUAUUGUUCAGGAACAAAGUACUGUUGAAUAUAUUUUCUUCUUUAAAGAAAACUCUGAAAGCUUGUCCCUGAAAGCACAGAUAUAAAAAGUACCAAGUCUUUUUUUAAUAUAAAAGAUAUCUUUGCGAGAGAGGGAGAGAGUUAGGUCUUAGAGUGUUGCUCAUUUUCGUGACGUAAACUCGAAUUUUAUGAAAUUCAAAAGUUAUAAUUACUUUACAACUUUCGUAUACAACUAUAACCACAAUAUUAAAUGGUAUUGUAACAGACUUUAUUAACCUUAUCUAUAUCACUCCGUCAUCUCUAUUCGCUUUCUAUCAUUUCAAUUAAAAAUCGAGAGAUUACAUUUUAUUUCUUUCCAUUUAUAGAUUUGUCUAUCGCUCAAGUAUUUGCGAUAGAAAAGAAUUUGCGCAUUUAGGCUCGCGAGAAGUACAUCGAUGAAACUGGAAAAAUCCUCGGCAAUUGACGAUCGAAACGAGCGGCAUUUCUAUCCACGAAAGAAUAAGUGUGCGAUCGAAAGGGAGCGAGCGAGGUCCAACAGGUGUAAAUCCGCAAAAAAGAUCGACCUUCGUGGGAAGGUUUCACGGAAACGGAAAGGAGGACGCGGAAGGAACGGGUGGGGCAGAAGGGCGACGGAGGGUUGUUCGCCAAGAGAGCGUACUAAGGGAAAGUAAGGUGCUUUAUAUAUAGAGAGACACUGAAAGAGAGAAAGGAAGAAGAAGUGGAAGAAGUGGAGUAACAGAGAAAAAAGAGCACAGGUGGGGGGGGGGGAGGGGGAAGAGAAAAACGAGGAUAGAACAAAUGGGAUAAGGGGAGAGAGAGACGAGGCGAAAGCACGCCGGUGAGAAGAGAACGCGAGGGGGAAUCCCCGAAGACGGUCGUAGGGUCGUCUCCACUAUUACGAAUACGGCGCCAUAACGGAAUUGAUAAUGUAACGGGCGUCACGAGUAUAUCCUUCUCUUUCUUCCUCUCUCUCUAUCUAUCUUUUCUCUCUCGCUUCUCCGCGCUGCUACAUAACCUCCUUUCUGAAUGGGAGCACGACCCUGGCCGUACCACGUGCUCGCUCGGAGUAAACGUAAGAACACGACCAAGCAAGUGUCUUCCCGCGGAUUUUCGCGAUGCAUUCAAGAGUAUAUAAGAUACUUCGAAAUAGUAUCGAUAUAUUAUACAUCGAUAUUUGUAUUCGUAUUCUAGAUAUCUGAAGAUGUUUAGCUACUGGUCCAGUUCAGUCACUCAUAAACUGUUGAGCAUUACAAAAGUGAAAUUUUGCUGGGGUUUACAUAAUCCGAGUGGGAAGCAUGUAAUUUUUCCAAAACGCAACGAUUGUCGGCGCAAUCGUGUAUUUACGAAUGUAAGGAGCGAGGAAACCAGAUAAUGGGAACGGCGUGGCUUCGCAGUUUAAAGGACUCUCGUAAGAGCGAGUCACUCUUGAUGCCGAUAGCCUUCCCGGGAGAAGAAGUGCGACCUCCGGAUCUUUUUACGAGCGCACCUUCUCAUGGGAUGCUGAGACAGGUGCUACGAGCAUCACAGAUGCACGACUUCGCGAACAAACAAGAUGGUAUUUUCCGUCGAACACGCAUUUUUAUCGUCAACUUACUCACUCAACAAUUGCUCGUAGAGUUGUGCUAUUAUGAUUCGAGUGCUAAACGCGACGGUUUCUCACAUAUAUUAAAAAUAAUCAAGUCAUAAUCAAUUAAGUAAUCACUUAUGGCUUCGACACGUUAAUUAUAACACUGUAGAAAACAGUAUUAAUGUAAUGCACAGAUAUCACAACUUUUCCAGAAGUUUUCUCAUAAAAUUAAGUAUUUUGACACAUUACACUUCAAAUCUUAUUUUGUGUACACAUUAUAUAAAAAGUGAAAUUUUAUUUUAAAAUUCUUUCACAAAUCCUCCACUUUCUGAGGGAAAAUAGACAGCUGAUGCCAGCGGUAGAACUCUCACUAAGGUUGCAACUUCAUUAAAAAUAUAUUAAAUUAAAAAAUACAUUAUAGAUUUAUUUCUCUGACACUUAUUUUCUUUAGAGUUUGUAUUGAUAUGUUGGAUGAGCAAAUUAGUUCGGUACCUUAUUGAAGAAAUUAAAUCUUUAUUUACAAAAAAAUAAACAUGUCAAUCUUUGAAAUAUUCGCCACUACUUUCUAGUAUUUUUCUCCAUCUAUCAGGCAGCUGACGAAUCUCCUCUCGAAAAAAAGAGAGUAAGUCAGUUUUGUAAAAAAAGCACCGAAUUAAGUUGCCUGACUAAUAAAAACGAUUAACAAUCGAAAGAUAACUCGUUGAGUUAAUUUACUCUACAGGCAAAACUCGUAAACUUUAAGUGCGCACGCGGCAUCAACGACACGUGUUGUUAACUCUUAGCCCAUCGUUUUGUGCAAUAAUGUUACUUCAUGUACAAUGUACUUGUCAUAAUAUCUAAGAAAAUUGAUAAUGUACUUUUCAACAAAUCAGAGAAGGUAUCGUUGGUUCAUUUACUUUGGCAGCUUGAAGAUACAUAUUGAUUGAAAAGAUUUGUGUAAGUGAUUAAUACAGAAAAUAUACUGAUAUACACACA